rnacentral:tRNA from 2 species
GCAGUCGUGGCCGAGUGGUUAAUUCGAUGGGCUAGAAAUCCACUGGGGUCUCCCCGCACAGGUUCGAAUCCUGUCGACUGCG